AUUGAACGCCGGCGGCAGGCCUAACACAUGCAAGUCGAACGGUAACAGGAAGAAGCUUGCUUCUUUGCUGACGAGUGGCGGACGGGUGAGUAAUGUCUGGGAAACUGCCUGAUGGAGGGGGAUAACUACUGGAAACGGUAGCUAAUACCGCAUAACGUCGCAAGACCAAAGAGGGGGACCUUCGGGCCUCUUGCCAUCGGAUGUGCCCAGAUGGGAUUAGCUAGUAGGUGGGGUAACGGCUCACCUAGGCGACGAUCCCUAGCUGGUCUGAGAGGAUGACCAGCCACACUGGAACUGAGACACGGUCCAGACUCCUACGGGAGGCAGCAGUGGGGAAUAUUGCACAAAGGGCGCAAGCCUGAUGCAGCCAUGCCGCGUGUAUGAAGAAGGCCUUCGGGUUGUAAAGUACUUUCAGCGGGGAGGAAGGGAGUAAAGUUAAUACCUUUGCUCAUUGACGUUACCCGCAGAAGAAGCACCGGCUAACUCCGUG
rnacentral:rRNA from 1 species